rnacentral:rRNA from 1 species
CCCUGCUCAGUGAUUUUUAAAUAGCCGCAGUACCCUGACUGUGCAAAGGUAGCAUAAUCAUUUGGCUUAUAAUUGAAGUCUGGUAUGAAUGGGGCUAUGGGGAAUUACUGUCUCAAUAUAAAUAUGAAAUUGAUUAGUAAGUGAAAAUGCUUACAAACAUAUAAUAGACGAGAAGACCCUAGAAAUUUGCAAUAUUAUAAGACUUUUGUUGGGGCGACAGAGUAGCAAUUAACCUACUUUAAUUACACGAACUAAGUGAUGUGGCAGAUUAAAUUACUCUAGGGAUAACAGCAUAAUUUCAAAAAGUUUGUGACCUCGAUGUUGGACUAAGGUGUAUAAGUGUCCAGAAGAUCUUAUACCACGCUCUGUUCGAGCGUAUAACCUUACGUGAUCUGAGUUCAGACCGGA